UUUUUGAUCAUGAUUAGAUACUGCACGUAUCUCAUCGUGUCCAAAAAUCUAGUCAAUCAGUUAGAAAUUGACUGAGGUAAUAGCAGCAAGUGCCCGAAAUAGGUCCGCCUGCCCAAAUGGUCCCAGACCCUAUAUGAAACCUCACACCUAGAAAAUGCAUACUACCGACACUAGUAUUUCUAGGUGUAUUUUCGAAAAAAAAUCCGUGAUAAAUUUUGCUAGACUUCCUGCAAAUUUGGAUAAAAAUAAAAAUCCUGAAACUCGUUGAUUUGUUUAUUAUGAAAAAAAAACUUACACAUAUUUUUUACAGAGGUCCAGACAAAAGAUUUGCAAAUUUAUAAAAAAAAAAGAAUCUAACAAAGAAUCAACAUUGGAGUAAGUCUAGGGAUUGUGUAAAUGGUACUUUCAAAGACUGUAAGUAUGUUAUUCGGAAAUCUGAUACGUAUUACUAGGCGAAUCUUAUCAGGUUCAUAUUUGAAAAUCUACAUACUGUCCUUGAAGAGAUCCUUCCACAAAAUACACAAGAAAUCACCCACAGAACUCCAUUAGCAUCAACUUCAAGAAUUGCCCUUGAAAUUAUCACUCUUAUUUCUCGAAUCCCUCAAAUUCUUUCGAGAAUUCAAUGGGAAAUUUCAUCUAAAGUCUGCCAGAAUGUUUAAAAAGUUGUACUGGAUUCUUGAUUCAAAUGAAAGAUCAAAAUAUUCCUUCAGGAAUUAUGAAAUUCGUCUAACAACUUUUCCAAAAUUUCAUUUUUUUCAGAUUUUUCGAAAAAUAUUUGGAAAACCUUUAGAGCCAUCAAAAUUGCCAUCCGUUUUUUAAUCUGAAAUACCUCAACCGUAAAUUAUCAUCAGCUGUUGCAGAAAUUGUUGAAUUGGUUAUGCGAUUUCCUGGAUGCACUUAUUGCAUAGUUAUUUUCAUUUCAUAGCUACACAGCUUUUUCAUUCCAAGGCUCGUUCAUCUUACGGCUCCCAGCAAGCAGUGAACCUAUUUAUUGUAUCUUUUCAAAGGUUCCGGCAGUGUGAUUGUCGACAAUCCAUUCACUGAAGCUGACAAUAACAUUUACAGAACUGUUACAGCUGACGUGGAUGUCGCAGUUUUCAAGGUUUCUGAGCCGCGGAUUUUGCGAAUUCCAAAAGUUUGGUCACUAUUUAUGCGAAUAUGACUGAAUUUGGACGCCAAUUCCUAUGUUCACACUGCAAUCUAAAGAAAAAAAAUCUAUCCAGCCAAAAACAUGGUAUUAUCAUGAAGUCAUACUUUAAAUACCAUAUUAUUCCAUGUUCAGUCUGAGUUCAGUAUGAAUCUCAUUCUCGUUUUACAAACUACAACUUAAAAAUAAAGCACUCAAAAUAACUUAUUAAAUUAUGAAUGUUAGGCUUCGAACAUCAUUCAAUAUUUCGUGAAUCCCAACCAUUGCCAACAUUUGUAUAUAGAUAACUUGGAUUUUAUUUUAUUUUUUUAUUUUUUUGCUUCUGGAUGUAAUCAUAUAGAAACUUUUUAUAAGGUUCGCCCCAUAUGUCUCUGUUAGAUCCUUGGCUGAGUUCCUUGUCGGAAUUUCUGAGGGAAUUCCUAAAAUAAUCAUGUUUAGGACUCGCACUUUUUAUAAUCAUUAGAUAAACUUCCAACGGAAUCGUUAAAGAAACUAGUAUCUUAUUGGUUUCUGGUGAAUUUUCUGAGCAUUCAACUUUCAAACAUUUAAACUUUUGGAAAUUUUUCAUAUAUUUUUCUUAACGUUAAAGUAUUUCCGAAAUAAACAGAAUUGGGAAGGAAUUCGAACCUCAGUUCUGCUGCUUUUUCUAUUGAACAUUAAAAUUUCUUCUAGGAAAAUUGUCAAAGGUUGCUUGAAGGAAUCUCCAUGAUUUUUAUGCUUUUUUUAUCGAGACGUAUUUCCGGAAUAAACAGGAUCGUGGAAGGAAUUUGUAUCUUAAUUUAUGAUGCUGUUGCUAUUGAAUUCCUUUCAGUAUUACCUUAAAAGAGUAUUUGUAUAAAUCUCUGUGAUUGCUUAUCGUUUUUUUUAAUUUUAUUUUUUUAUUUUUCUAUAAUUUUGAUACUUUUUUAAAUGUUGUUCAAUUAUUCCUGAAAUAAUCAUGUAAAAGAACCUCGCUCAUUGUUUUCACUAGAUUAACUUCCUAUGGAAUCGUGAUAGUCAUUGGCGGAGCCAGCUUUUUCCUUUUUCUUACUCACUCUCCUAAACAUGCAAGAGAAAGAGCGAGAUGAAAGAGGAGGCAAGCUUUCUCUUGUAUGUUUUGGAGUGUGAGAAAGAAAAAAGAAAAAUCUGGCUCCGCUAAUGGUGAUAGUAAGUUGUAUCUUAAGUUCUGGUGCAUUUUCUGAACAUUUAAAUUCCUUCCAGGAAAAAUCUGAAAGGGUCCUUGUAGAAAUCUUAGUAUUUUUUUUUUCUAUUUUUCAACCUUGGAGAGUAUUUCCAGAUUAAACUCAACAGCGGUUAAAAUCGUAUUUUACAUUCUGUUGCCUUUUCUAUUGAACAUUUAGAUAUCUUCCAGGAAAACUUUCAUAGAUUGUUUGAAAGAAUCCCUGUGAUUUUUAUUUUUUUUCCUGUCGGAACAUAGGGUGACAUUGGGUAUUAUUGGCAGGUUUGUUCACUUCGUCAUGAGGUUUUUUUUUCGACCAAAUUUCCUGCAACUUGGUGAUAUAAUUCAGCUUGGUUAGGAAGGAGUUCAACAGGUUUCAAAAAACUCUCAUGACAUGGAGAACAAAACUGCAGAAAAUACAGAAGGUCCCUUGUUUCCGGAAUGAACAGAAUUGCUUGAUAAAUUUGUAUUCUAAUUACUAGUGCAUUUACUAAUGAAUCCUUCCAUGAUAAUCUUGAAAGAAUUCUUGUAGGAAUCUCCGUGAUUUUUUAUCACUUUUUUUAUUGUUUUUUUUUUUUCAUUUUUUUCAUUUUUCAUCUUUUUUUUAUUUUGUGGCAUGUUUUCAAUUAAAUUAUGGUUAUUGUUUUUAUGGUAUGCUUAAGAAAAACUGUUGUUGAUACUUUUGGAUGAAUUCUUUGUCAAAUACCGAUGAAAUUUCACAGUUAAAUCUCUGGCUAACGGUAAUCACCAUUGUCGCAAAACUUACAAAAUUUAAAGACUAGAGAAUCGCUACUGAUGCAGAAAAGGCAAAGAAAGCCCUUCAAAUAAUAAUUUUAGGCGUGAUCGAAGAACGUUUAAUUUCGAUUCUUCUACAAUUUUUUUACGGAUUUCCCCAGGAAAUAUUUGAAAUAUUCUCGUUGGGAGUUACUUGUCCAUUUCUUCAAAUAAAUCACAAAAAAUGUCUCUUUAAACCCCUGCGUAAAACUGUCCGGGAAUAUAUGUGUUAAUAUCAACAAUAACUACUUCAAGUCUGUUUAAUUAACGGAUGCAAAGUUUAAAACGAUACCGUUAUGAGCAACCUUACCAUUAACUCUUCUAUCACUAAAUAACAAUAUUUUCGAAAAAAAACUUCAGCAUCAGAUACUUUCAAAAGUUAAAAAAAGAUAAAAGGUCAUUUGUACAAAUAAUACUAGUUUUCAAUAUAAAAUUUAAGUCGUGAACCUUCUGAUUUCGAAACAAUGCUAACUAUUUUUUUAAAGAUCAGUUUUACCUGGAAAUCGAGUUCUACAGUUUUGGAGAAAUGGAAUUUACAAAAUCUGAAAUAUCUUGCGCUGCAGCCAUUCAAUUUUCAUUUAUUUUGUGUGCAGGGAUGGCAUUCCGCACUGAAAAUGUGCACAGUGCAGCUCAUUUUCAUAUUAAAACCGCACACACUUGCACUCAAACUGAGGAGCAUGCCAUCCCUGUUUGUGUGAAUGAAAAGCUGAUUAUAAUAUGUUUCAACCAACUGAACACUGUUUAGGCAUCAGAUUGACGAAAGUCGAAAAUUUGGCGAGUCUGGGACAGUCCUAAUAGUCUUAAGAACAUCCACCAGAAUUGUUUUCCGAAAUUCAUUUCUUACAGAAGACAUUUGUUCCUUGCGCAGUAUGAUUUUCAAAAAGUUAAAAUAAAAAUACCCCAUCAAUUGAAAUUCUUUUAUAAUCCUUGACUCAUUUUUGGUCAUCUAAACCCUCCCCUUUCCCUCUCGUAGAUCAUCGUCCAUAAAAUUUUGAAAAUUUGUGUGGACCGUAAACUUUGGUCAGACAUCCAUAUCAUUGCUAGUCAGCUUCCAUAUGGAUUUAGCUUGCUUCCUGAAUAAUCAUCCGACGAAAUCUACAAGUUUUCCGCGAUACUGUAAGAAUCUUCAUAGUUGGGCAUUGGUGAGCUCGUUCCAUGUUUUUUUUAAAUUUAUUUGUAAAGAUGGCCAAGAAAUUCCAGUGUACGAAAAAUUUCUGUAUCAUUCAUUGUCGGCUACAAUGUUUGUUGAGUAAAGUGAGCUUAAGAACUUUUAAAAGAUGCUUCCGCCAAGUUCGAUAUGUGGUGUGUUCUGGAAGCUCUUCGCCAUUUCAAGGAAACAAACCAAUAUCUCAACACUUUCAAAUUGUAUCAAAAGACUGCAGAAUUGCCUGCCAAAAUCUCCGGAAUACAACUUGAAAGUAAAUGGAAAUUACCGCUCUCAUCUCAAAAUUUCGACGACCUAUUUUUCAGCCUUGCCGCUCUGCGUAAUGUUUUUUCUUCUCAUUCUCUCGAAUGAAAUAUCUCGUUUCGUUAUCACAUGGUUUUUCAAAAGUGAUCUAAAAUGUUUUAUCUUGAGCAUUCGUAGGUAUUCCGAAGUCAGUUCCGGUUAAUAACUUCUAACGCUAUUCUUGGAGCUCUUCAUCGCCAAACUACUUGAGGGACCUUUGGCUAACAGUUAUCAUUAUCAUGCACCUUUCUUUAUGCCAUGCCAUAACACUAGGUUGUUUACUCUUGCAUUCUUAGAGUUUCAAGUAGAUAACCACCCAGGCAUGCUACCGACUCGUCACCUCCAGCAACCCAGAGAAGGUGCAAUUCGCACAUGCCUGCCAUAAAUUGCCAUGAGUACUAGCAGGUUCUGUAAAGCGAAUAAUUAUGUUCGUGAUAUAUGAGCUGCGAUUAGCAUAGAUAUGAUUGUGCAUCGGCGUUGGGCGCACCGGGAUCUAGCAAAAUGCGCAGUGAACGGAACGCGAUCGAUUCCCUCAUGGUGGCAUCGCUGGCUGGUGCAGCAGUAACGGGUUCUCGGAGAUUUACUGUUGCCCGGUUAAGCAAGUGGAUUGUACCUAUAGACUAGACAGAGCGCGCUUACGCGCUUGCUCAAUUCGUCCACCACUACCCGCGUGGUAGUCUUAUCAGUAUGAUUUCAUUUGUUGUUCUCAUAAAACAAAACAAGAACAAUAAUCCAGCACGAAAAAAGGGAGAUAAAGCUGCCGGCGGCAGCGGCGGCGACCGCUGCGAGACACAAUGUUUCGACGAUCGAAGAGAAGAAGACGCUCGCAGCAAACACGAGGAAUCGAUUCCCGGCAAUAUUUGGGAUUUAUUUUCGGUUUAAUUAUCGCGGCCCCUUAUCGGAUCACACACAGCUAUACUGUAAGACGAAAAAACAAUUAAACAGCCGAAAGUUGAACUCGAUUCGGCCUGGAGCUUGAUACCCGCGGCUAUUCUCUCGAAACAAGGAAUCACGAUUGGAGGGCAUGUUAAAAAAAAAAUAAAAAUCGGGCCUCAGUAAAUAUGAACCAAGGGACUGCAACCAUAGAGCAGUUGAAAUAGUAUAAUUAAUACUGGCACCAGCAUGAACAGUGGCCAGAAGUGGCUCAAAAAUUUCUCAUACACUCGAACAGAUAGCAAGUGUACGAGUUACCAUAAUUUCUCAACCAUCUUCACAAUAAAUCAAAACAUGGAACGAGCUCACCAAUGCCUAACGCUGCGGAUUCUUACAGUAUCACGAACAUUUCUUCAGCAUUUUAUUCAGGAAGCAAGCUAUUCACAGAAGAAAGCUAACUAACCAUGGAAAGAUGUCUGGUCAAAGUCUACGUUCGAUAUAAAUUUUCAAAAUUUUGUGUGGUCGAAAGUCUGAGAGAAGGAGAUGACCAAAAAUGAGUCUAAGUGGUUUAAGGACAGCGUCCAAGGUGUUAGCCACAUAGAAAAGCCUGGGCAACCUGAGAUUAUAAAAAAAAAUCAUUUUUUUUUAAUUUUUUUUAUUGAUAUAAUAAAUUUAAAUAUAAUUCAUGCUUUUUUUUAUUUCUUUUUUGAGACUUUCAGCCAUGAGCUGGUUCGUCUCUUAGUUCAUACUUAAUUUAUAAAUAUUCAUACAUUAAAUUCUAAAUAUCCUAAUUCUGGUUAACAAAUAUUCAGAUUGCGUCCGAACUGGUAAACAAAGAUUUCCGCCGUUAAUCAGCGGUCGCCGAUUAUUCCACCUAUGUUCCCUCAACUGUGUCUUUAAAAUGAACAAACUGGGCACUGGUCCCGCCAAAUUGAAAGAAAUCACUCGAACCGCCAACCAGAAUGCAGCCUUCUGUUUUUGUGCACUCAAUCAUAACUUUCGUGAAAGAAGCUCUUUCAUAUCAUUUACUUUUACUCCCACUCGUGCCCGAAUCACCUGACUACACCACUGCCACAACGUUUUGGCAUUUGGACAAACUUUAAGUCUAUGAUACACAUCAUCAACAUCUCCACAACUAUCACAAAAACAUGCAGUUCUUCGAACAUUGUAAGCAGCUAGCUUUUGUCCUGUAGCUAUCAAA